rnacentral:lncRNA from 1 species
AAGCUUGGGGUCGACUCAACUACUGUUCAUCCGUACCAUUUUUGCAGAAGUGUGCCUGAUGGUUCCAUGAUGUGCCGGGGUUGACUCCACCAAUCUUGGGGUCGACUCAUUCCACACUUUGCUGCAACUUAAGGUUAUAUUCAUCCAUACAAUCAAUAAAAUAUAAUUCAAGCAAUUUUGAAUGUAUGCCAUGGUAGUGCUACAUACUCUUAACAAUGAAAAUUACUAUUGUCCCCUUAAGAGUACGUUUCACUUGAAACUUUGUCGAAUUAGAAUUUAGAAUUCACUAUCCCUU